UAGGAGGUGGUGUAGUUGGAAGCACGAAGAGUUUUGAUCUCUUCGGGUGGGGUUCAAGUCCCUUCUUUCUAA
rnacentral:tRNA from 1 species